rnacentral:rRNA from 1 species
UACGAGGGGGGCAAGCGUUGUUCGGAAUUACUGGGCGUAAAGGGCUCGUAGGCGCCAACUAAGUCAUACGUGAAAUCCCUCGGCUUAACCGGGGAACUGCGUCUGAUACUGGAUGGCUUGAGUUCGGGAGAGGGAUGCGGAAUUCCAGGUGUAGCGGUGAAAUGCGUAGAUAUCUGGAGGAACACCGGUGGCGAAGGCGGCAUCCUGGACCGAUACUGACGCUGAGGAGCGAAAGCCAGGGGAGCAAACGGG